GUCCCCUUUCUUGCAGCCUCGGACAGGAGAGGGAUGAGGCGGUCAUUCAGCACCAUGUCGACGACUGUUUCCACGAAUUUCCGAAGAGAUUUCGUGUUGAAUUCAUGGCUUGACACCUGCUACGAAAUUUUUCAGCGAAUCGGAGUCACCAUCAACAUUGAAGAUCCCGUCUCCAAGGAUGUCCCUAAAGGUGGAUCGGAACACAUCACCCUUCUGGUAGGACGAGAAAUUGGUCUUGAGAAUAUGCUGCACGGUGGCAGGAUUUCCGGUAAAAACAUGGCGGAGGCCGAGCGGACGAUGUAAUACAUACGUAGCGGUGGGAGAGAGCUGGAUGAGGUCUGAGGUCCACUGGAUCCGUCUCUUCAGGUUUGCGAGCAAUGCGAAGGAAGAGCCUUUCAAGGGGUAAAUCUUCGGUAAUUUGUCCGAGGACGGGGAUGGAGAAACAUUCAGGAACACUAGGACGAGGAAAAGGAGAGGGAGGAGGAAGAGGAAGAGGAAGAGUGAAGCCGUGAGCUCCAUUGACGAAAGAAGAAAUGUGACGUCCAAUGAAGGAAGACUCAACUGCCUUUGUCUGUACGUACAAUAAUAUCUGAGAGAGAGACAAGAAGUUUGGGUGGUCCGAAAUUUGGGAUAGGCAAGGCAUUUAACAAAAAAUCCAAGUUCUUUUCUUUCUUUUUUUUUCUCGACUUAGAACGGCGACACUCAUCCUCGACUAGAAACUAAGAACCGUUUCUCGCCUAUCAAGUAUAUAUACGAAUCUUCUUUGUAACUGAAAUACCUUAAGAGGAAAAUUCUAUGAUGCAAUCAAUAAAAUUGAUUGCACUAUAUCGGCAAGUGAA